rnacentral:rRNA from 1 species
ACAAAGGGAAGCAAAGCCGCGAGGCGGAGCGAAUCCCCAAAAGGCGUCUCAGUUCGGAUUGCAGGCUGCAACUCGCCUGUAUGAAGUCGGAAUUGCUAGUAAUCGUGGAUCAGCAUGCCACGGUGAAUACGUUCCCGGGCCUUGUACACACCGCCCGUCACACCAUGAGAGCCGGGAACACCCGAAGUCCGUAGUCUAACCUAUAUGGAGGACGCGGCCGAAGGUGGGUUUGGUAAUUGGGGUGAAGUCGUAACAAGGUAUC